AACGAACGCUGGCGGCAGGCUUAACACAUGCAAGUCGAACGCCCCGCAAGGGGAGUGGCGCACGGGUGAGUAACGCGUGGGAAUAUGCCCUUCGGUUCGGAAUAACACAGGGAAACUUGUGCUAAUACCGGAUACGAUCUACGGAUGAAAGAUUUAUCGCCGAGGGAGUAGCCCGCGUAGGAUUAGCUAGUUGGUGAGGUAAUGGCUCACCAAGGCGACGAUCCUUAGCUGGUCUGAGAGGACGAUCAGCCACACUGGGACUGAGACACGGCCCAGACUCCUACGGGAGGCAGCAGUGGGGAAUAUUGGACAAUGGGCGAAAGCCUGAUCCAGCCAUGCCGCGUGAGUGAUGAAGGCCUUAGGGUUGUAAAGCUCUUUCGCCAGGGAAGAUAAUGACGGUACCUGGAAAAGAAGCCUCGGCUAACUCCGUGCCAGCCGCCGCGGUAAUAC
rnacentral:rRNA from 1 species